AGAUUGAACGCUGGCGGCAGGCCUAACACAUGCAAGUCGAGCGGCAGCACGGGUACUUGUACCUGGUGGCGAGCGGCGGACGGGUGAGUAAUGCCUAGGAAUCUGCCUGGUAGUGGGGGAUAACGCUCGGAAACGGACGCUAGUACCGCAUACGUCCUACGGGAGAAAGCAGGGGGACCUUCGGGCCUUGCGACUAUCAGGAUGAGCCUAGGUCGAUUAAAGCUAGUUGGUGAGGUAAUGGCUCACCAAGGCGACGAUCCGUAACUGGUCUGGAGAGGAUGAUCAGUCACGACUGGAACUCGAGACACGGUCCAGACUACCGUACGGGAGGCAGCAGUGGGGAAUAGUUGGACAAGUGGGACGAAAGGCCUAGAUCCAGCCAGU
rnacentral:rRNA from 1 species